GCUGACUCUCUUUUCGGACUCAGCCCGCCUGCACCCAGGUGAAAUAAACAGCCAUGUUGCUCACACAAAGCCUGUUUGGUGGUCUCUUCACAGGGACACGGAUGAAAUUUGGUGCCGUGACUCGGAUCGGGGAACCUCCCUUAGGAGAUCAAUCCCCUGUACUCCUUUUCUUUGCCCUGUGAGAAAGAUCCACCUAUGACCUCAGGUCCUCAGACCGACCAGCCCAAGGAACAUCUCACCAAUUUUAAAUCAGACCUUGAAGAUUUGUUGUUCAAGGAGAAACUGAAGAGCAAGAAGGAAAGUGAGAGCCAGCAAUACCAGCAGAGCCAGAUCUGAGCUGGGAGAAGGGGAGAAAGUUUGUGAAGAGGAGAUCGGUGACCUGGGCUCCUUAUGUGCCUGAAAGAGUUUGAGUUUCCUGUUAACUCCAAAUCAACAGUAUUUUCAACAAGAAAUGUGCAAUUGAAAUCAAGUGCUGUUUAAGUGCAGCUAGGAUUUCCACAGGAAGACACUUGCAGUGAACAGAGUUAUGGAGCAGCAAAAACACAGAUCUAUUUGGAAAAAGAGAAAACAUAUGCGUUGUAUUUUGCUUCAAUUAUAAAAUACCAUCCUCUCAAAGGUGGUUCUAAAUUACAAAGGACUUUGAUUUCUAGGUAGAUUCUGGGUAGAGACUUCCUUUCAUAUUGAGGCAUUAAUGACACCUUUUAACCUGGGAAGCAAUAUGACUGGAGUUGUACUUUGAGAAGAUUAAUCAGGUUUGGUUGCAGAAUGAAAGAGAAGAUGAAGUCAAGAGAUUGGUUUAGAGGCUCUAGCAGAAGCUUAGUCAUAUUUCAAAAUGAUCAAAUAUCAAGAAAAAUUCUGAGCUGCAUAACUUGUAUAAAGUAAUUUUCAGUGAUUUUUUUCAUGGUUAUGAUAAAAGAACUGGAUUAGCAGAAACUUUUACCCUGAAUCAAGAUUUAAUUUUUCUUUGAGCUCAUCUUAAGGAUAUCGGAACAUAGGGAGCAAACGAUGGUGUGGCUGCCUCAGUGCUUGAUUUUUAACGGUUUUGAAGAGAAUAGUUACAUUUCUUCUCCUAGUAAGAACUAAUAAAUACAUUAACAGAAAUGAAUUCCCUAUCCCUUUGUACACUGGUCUAUUUCUUCAAAACAUUAAAUACUAUUGAUAAGAUA
rnacentral:lncRNA from 1 species